AGUCCAGAGAGGCACAGCGACUCGGCUCUGCAGCUCUCAACAGCUCCAGCUACAGCCACCACUGUCCCCUCUCUCGCUCUCUCGCUCCCCAACACUCUCACGCUCUCCGCUACUCGGCCUGCAGGAGCCAACCAUCAUGUGGAUCAAGUGGAUCGCCACGCUGGUCGCCUUUGGCGCCCUGGUGCAAAGUGCGGUAGCAUGUCCCUCGCAGUGUUCGUACAUAUAGUCUCCUCAGCAGGGCGGGGACCAAGAAACAAACAAUGCUAUCAGGAUAUAUGUAGUUAAAUAUAUUAACAUGUAUUUUAUAUAGUGUUAGACAUGAAGUGUAUAUGAUAUAUAAAAAUUUCCAAAACAUAUUUAGAUUUUAUUUUAAAACAAAUAAGCCAUUUGUAAAAAAAAAAAAAAACUAUGUUAAAUAAUUCGAAUCUGGAAAAUAAAAUCCAAUUCUGGAAAAUGAUCAAAUAAUGAUCAAAAAAAUUGCAUGCGGAAAAUCAUAAUAAUACACAUUUUUAAAUAAGUCCAAUCAUAAAAACUUGGGCCAAUGAAAUUACGAUAAAUGUAUAUAUAGUCUGUCAACAGGUAGGUGCUGCAUAUAUCAGUGUGCACACUUGAUAUCGAUGAAGGCGUCUCAGAUGGAAUUACAAAAAAUACAAUUCACACGAAAUCCCAAACCGUAGAAUAUAUAAAACACUUAGUUUAUCAAUAAAGAUAACAAACAAUCAAUUAAUGUGUUUUCGUAAACACGGAAAGUCCUGUGUAGUCAGCUACCAAGCUAGCUUGCAAGGGAGAUCCCGUGGUGCAUUGCCACUGUACAAGGACAACAACGACAUCAAAGUGAUACGUACAGAAGAAACGGGCAACAACAGAACAGAACGCAUCAUAGGUGCAGGCAAUCAUAGUGCUUAAAGAACAAUACCUAACAACAUUAACAAAAUAAAUAACAGGCACAUUGCACCACCAACAGCAAUAAGGAUGAGGUCAUUACCUCAUGAACUGUUGGACUGGGCAUGAGCACAAUGUGAGGCGAAUGCGAUCGAGCGAAUAAAACAACAACAAUAACCACCACGGGAACGCAGACAGGAAUAGCACGUGACUCUCGGUAGAGGUUUAGUAUCCAAACUGUGUGUGUGCAUUUGGAACGGGGUAGGGCCAGGGGAGGGAGCCGAGCCUAAACCGAAGGGGCGAGGGCAUUCAUAAAAUAUCAACAUAGCAAUAGCGUAUGCUCCCUCAUACUAAACGUCAAUUAUGAAAAUCAAGGAAUGGCACAUUUCAAGGUAGAUAGCCAGCUGUCCUGUAUUGAGAGAUAUGCUAUGAAACGUACUGAGAGAUGUACAUUAUCUUAUUUGAGCUCGACAGCUCGUUUUCCAAGAGCGACCUGCCCAUGAAGGCGGCAAUGAUGCCACAUGCACAGGGAAUUGCGAGGGAUGAUACGUUACAAGAACUAGUGGGAAAUAAAACGCAGUGAGUGGCAAAAAUAUUUUAACAACACAUGUAACAAUUACGGACUGGAGGAAGGCCUGCAAACGCGAAGACGCGUUUCAAUGACAAUGCAUAAAGUGACAGAAGUAAUUAUAUAAAUAAAAAUAAUCAAUAAAAACACUUUGAUCAUUCGGGAUCGCAUUCGCAUCUGUGUGUGUAAUACUCUUGAAGAAACAGUCAUAAGCUGCAUUAGAGCUGGAAGCGAUUGCAAAUCUCAGUGCCUAGACCGGUUCAUUCAGAAAUUUAGACGCAGCGAUUGAGAAUGCCGCGGAAUACUGUGGCGUUAUCGAGAUUAAACGGGGUUGUGACCCAUUCCAUAACUGCGUGUAAUUGUUUAUAUAUUUUUUAUUAUUUUUGUUCCUUCAAUAAAGAUCGCAUAAAUGAAACAAA